CGCAUGACAAAAACAAAAAAAAAUCGACGGGGCCGCGCACAAGGGGAAGAAUAUGUGGAAAAAUUAGAACCAACGGGAAGAACCUCAGCAGGUGGCGACAUCUUUCGACAACCUUAGAGAUAGGGCUUCUCCUUGGGGGGCAGAGUGACAGGUGGUGCAUGGUUGUCGUCAGCUCGUGUCGUGAGAUGUUGGGUUAAGUCCCGCAACGAGCGCAACCCUUGAUCUUAGUUGCCCGCAUUCAGUUGGGCACUUUAAGGUGACUGCCGGUGACAAACCGGAGGAAGGUGGGGAUGACGUCAAAUCAUCAUGCCCCUUAUGACCUGGGCUACACACGUGCUACAAUGGGCAGAACAAAGGGCAGCGAAGCCGCGAGGGUAAGCCAAUCCCACAAAUCCGUUCUCAGUUCGGAUCGCAGUCUGCAACUCGACUGCAUGAAGCUGGAAUCGCUAGUAAUCGCGGAUCAGCAUGCCGCGGUGAAUACGUUCCCGGGCCUUGUACACACCGCCCGUCACACCACGAGAGUUUGUAACACCCGAAGUCGUAGAGGUAACCCUUUGGAGCCAGCCGCCGAAUAGGU
rnacentral:rRNA from 1 species